rnacentral:rRNA from 1 species
UAGGGAAUCUUCGGCAAUGGGGGGAACCCUGACCGAGCAACGCCGCGUGAGUGAAGAAGGUUUUCGGAUCGUAAAGCUCUGUUGUUAGAGAAGAACGGUAAUGGGAGUGGAAAAUCCAUUACGUGACGGUAACUAACCAGAAAGGGACGGCUAACUACGUGCCAGCAGCCGCGGUAAUACGUAGGUCUCGAGCGUUGUCCGGAUUUAUUGGGCGUAAAGCGAGCGCAGGCGGUUUGAUAAGUCUGAAGUUAAAGGCUGUGGCUUAACCAUAGUAUGCUUUGGAAACUGUCAAACUUGAGUGCAGAAGGGGAGAGUGGAAUUCCAUGUGUAGCGGUGAAAUGCGUAGAUAUAUGGAGGAACACCGGUGGCGAAAGCGGCUCUCUGGUCUGUAACUGACGCUGAGGCUCGAAAGCGUGGGGAGCAAACAGG